rnacentral:rRNA from 1 species
CAAUAGCGUAUAUUAAAGUUGUUGCAGUUAAAAAGCUCGUAGUUGGAUUUCUGGUCGGAAGCUCCUGUCCUCUGAUGAGCGUACAAGUGCGUCCUACCAUCCUUCUGUUAACCUUUAAGGCUUUCGCGGCUUUCUAGGGGCGCAGAUAUUUUACCUUGAGAAAAUUAGAGUGUUUCAGGCAGGCUAGCGCCGGAAUACAUUAGCAUGGAAUAAUGGAAUAGGACUUUUGCCUCUUCUGUUGGUCAUGAGGCUCGAGUAAUGAUUAAUAGGGAUAGUUGGGGGCAUUAGUACUUAACUGUCAGAGGUGAAAUUCUCGGAUUUGUUAAAGACUAACUUAUGCGAAAGCAUUUGCCAAGGAUGUUUUCAUUA